AUGCAAGUCGGACGCUCUUGGGGUUUCGGCCUCAAGGGAGUGGCGCACGGGUGAGUAGCGCGUGGGAACCUGCCCCUUUGUGGGGGAUAACCGAGGGAAACUUCGGCUAAUACCGCAUGCGCCCCUGGGGGAGACCUUGGGGGGAAAGAUUUAUCGCAGAGGGAGGGGCCCGCGUCGGAUUAGGUAGUUGGUGGGGUAACGGCCUACCAAGCCUGUGAUCCGUAGCUGGUCUGAGAGGAUGAUCAGCCACACUGGGACUGAGACACGGCCCAGACUCCUACGGGAGGCAGCAGUGGGGAAUAUUGGACAAUGGGCGCAAGCCUGAUCCAGCAAUGCCGCGUGAGUGAUGAAGGCCUUAGGGUUGUAAAGCUCUUUCGGCGGGGACGAUGAUGACGGUACCCGCAGAAGAAGCCCCGGCUAACUUCGUGCCAGCAGCCGCGGUAAUACGAAGGGGGCGAGCGUUGUUCGGAUUUACUGGGCGUAAAGGGCGCGUAGGCGGCGGCCCAAGUCGAGUGUGAA
rnacentral:rRNA from 1 species